rnacentral:rRNA from 1 species
GAGUUUGAUCCUGGCUCAGGACGAACGCUGGCGGCGUGCUUAACACAUGCAAGUCGAACGGGGAUUAGUUGAUAGAGAGCUUCGGCAGGAAAUCGAUUAAUUCGAGUGGCGGACGGGUGAGUAACGCGUGAGCAACCUGUCCCAGACAGGGGGAUAACACUUGGAAACAGGUGCUAAUACCGCAUAAGACCACGGGAUCACAUGGUUCUGAGGUAAAAGGAGCAAUCCGGUUUGGGGUGGGCUCGCGUCCGAUUAGCCAGUUGGCGGGGUAACGGCCCACCAAAGCGACGAUCGGUAGCCGACCUGAGAGGGUGAACGGCCACAUUGGAACUGAGAGACGGUCCAAACUCCUACGGGAGGCAGCAGUGGGGAAUAUUGGGCAAUGGGCGAAAGCCUGACCCAGCAACGCCGCGUGAGUGAAGAAGGCCUUCGGGUUGUAAAGCUCUGUUAUAGUUGACGAAGGAAGUGACGGUAGGCUAUAAGGAAGCCCCGGCUAACUACGUGCCAGCAGCCGCGGUAAUACGUAGGGGGCGAGCGUUGUCCGGAAUGACUGGGCGUAAAGGGCGUGUAGGCGGUCAUUUAAGUCUGGAGUGAAAGUCCUGCAUUCAAUGUGGGAAUUGCUUUGGAUACUGGAUGACUUGAGUGCGGAAGAGGUAAGUGGAAUUCCCAGUGUAGCGGUGAAAUGCGUAGAGAUUGGGAGGAACACCAGUGGCGAACGCGACUUACUGGGCCGUAACUGACGCUGAGGCGCGAAAGCGUGGGGAGCGAACAGGAUUAGAUACCCUGGUAGUCCACGCGGUAAACGAUGAAUGUUAGUGUUGCGGGUAUCGACCCCUGCAGUGCCGGAGUAACACAAUAAACAUUCCGCCUGGGGA